UGGUAGUNCACGCCCUAAACGAUGUAUACCGGUUGUUGCUGUGCUAGUCACGGCAGUAAUCCACCUAACGGAUUAAGUAUACCGCCUGGGGAGUACGGUCGCAAGAUUAAAACUUAAAGGAAUAGACGGGGACCCGCACAAGCGGUGGAGCAUGUGGUUUAAUUCGAAGAUACGCGAAGAACCUUACCCGGACUUGAUAUCUAACAAAUCAUCCAGAGAUGGAAGAGUGUCUGCUUGCAGAAAUGUUAAGACAGGUGCUGCACGGCUGUCGUCAGCUCGUGUCGUGAGAUGUUGGGUUAAGUCCCGCAACGAGCGCAACCCACGUCAUUAGUUGCUAACGGUUCGGCCGAGCACUCUAAUGAGACUGCCUUCGUAAGGAGGAGGAAGGUGUGGACGACGUCAAGUCAUCAUGGCCCUUAUGUCCGGGGCGACACACGUGCUACAAUGGCAUAUACAAUAAGACGCAAUAUCGUAAGAUGGAGCAAAUCUAAAAAAUAUGUCCCAGUUCGGAUUGGAGUCUGCAACUCGACUCCAUGAAGCCGGAAUCGCUAGUAAUCGUAGAUCAGCCAUGCUACGGUGAAUACGUUCCCGGGUCUUGUACUCACCGCCCGUCACACCAUGGGAGUUGAUNUCACUCGAAGCGGGAAUGCG
rnacentral:rRNA from 1 species